ACGGGCUCGGAGGACCCUGAGAUUUGGUUUGACACCAGAGGCUACAGUCCCUACGUGCAAAAUACAAGCAUUCUUUAAAUCAGUGACUCUCAACUAUUUCAGCCUCAACCCAGAGUGUCACAUUUUACAGGGUGGCCCAGAGUACCACUUACCUAUAAGUAUAAAAAAGAACGCUUCUCAAAACAGUUCUUACCGUUGCAAUGUGCUGUGUACCCAUUAUUUUUCAUUUCAUUCUUUUUCAUGUUUAAAACUGCUGGUGCAGCUUAUAAAUUGAUUUCAUAUAGGGUGUGAAGCAUGGUUUGGAAAAAGCAGAGGAGGAAAUGUCCUGCAAAUGCAGGUAGUUUUAAAUCAGGUCAAUAACACACAUACCAAAGCUUGGCAUUAAAGUCACGUUAGUUUAUUAACAGUUUCUUAAAAGAGUAACAGCGGACAUAAAUGUCUAACCACGGAUAGUUAUUAAGGCAAGUCAUCUUCUUGAGAACAGAUUCCUGGUGUUAAGGGUCUAGAGUGAACCGAGGAGGGCCCCAAGUCCCCGUUUCUGAGAAGAGAAGUAGGAACUGCCAGCUGGAGAGUCAGGGCCACUGGUGCCAAGAGCAGGCAGGGGUGAGCUCCAUGGUUGGAGGGAAGGACACAAGGCCCCUGUGGGGAAACAGAAACUGGACUACUUUUUCAGAAGAAAAAGGUAUCAGGGAAACAUCUGACAAAGGGAGCGAGUGCGUCUUGCAUGUCCCGGAAGAAAUGAGUGAACCCAGGUCACCCCUAAAUGUAGGUGACCCAGCUGAUGUCACUGGGUUUGGAGCUCAGUCUGUAGGAGCCCGCCCUGCCCAGCGGUAGUUUGGUGCAGGCUUGGGGCAGUCAUUUCCUGCUCAGCAGAGGGCUUUGGUGAUGGCAGUGCUGCCACCCACCCCGAAGUGGCUGGAACAUGACACGUGGCAACAUGUUUUUGCUCCUUUUCAGUUAAAUGUGUGGUGAUUUAGCUCCUUGGCAGCUCCAAGUCUUUAAUCACCGUGUAUAAUCCAGGUCCGUGAUGGACCAGUGAAGGCAAAGACAGUGACAUCCCAUGUGCCGCCUGCUAACAGCCAUGUGAGACACGUGGAUCUCAGAGCUGUGAAACGUGAAGUCGUCUGCGCCAGGAAAUGAAUGAAACAUUAUGAAAAUCAGGUGAAGUCGGACGCCUUAAGCCGGGAGGGUGGCCCUCUAGUGGUAGCCGAGGUGGUUUACCUGCCGUUCAGAGGAAGUGGCUGGCCUCUCCCUGAGCUCCGGGAAUACUUUGGUCUCCCUUCCAGUGGUGGACGUAGAGCCCGGGAGCCGGGAGGAAGGGAGCUUUGUCAGAUUUUGGGUUUUCCCUGUGAAUUGAGGGCCAGACCAGACAUCCGAGGACCCUUGUGGUGGAUUCUAGAUUCCUAUACUGCCCACCAGGAUACAGACAAGCGGGAAGAGGAGCAGACUGCUGAUUCCCGUAGGCCCUGCUCCAGCUGGCCAGCAGGCGUCCCAGAGCGAGGGGCCCUGUCUGAGUCUGAUGGCUCGGUCACUCAGGACAGCUCCAGGUGAAAGCUCAUAAAGCCACGCGGCCCGCCUCCAAGCGCCAGGCUCUGUCUACGGGCGCAGCAGUGCCAUCUGUGACACACACUUCUCUCCCCUCGAUAGCACAGCAGUCCCCGUGCCAGACCAUUCCAGGUGAUGACUCACACUCACGACGUUAACCAGAGAAAGUUCGAAGCACAGCCCAGCCAGCUCUCCUCCCUCAGCCCUCUGGGGACCGACGUUCCCUGGUUUUGUGCAGGGAACACUGGAUGGGAGCCCCCAAAGCUGGUCCAGUUAGCAGGUUUUCUGUUUGCUGUGAGGCUACUGAAGUAAGACGGUGAAAAAUUUCCUCAUAAAUAAAAUAUCUCUAUAGACUAGUGGCUUCCGGGCCAGCUGGUUAACAAAUACAGGGGAGAGAGAAUGGCUCCGGCAGGAAGUGUGCUCUGCAGUGGCCCACAGCUUCCAUGGCUCCCUGCUGCCCCCACCAGGGGCACAGCCAAGGGGCCAUCACCUUGGUAUUCAGAUAAGCCCCCCAGCUCCCGCGCUUCCCCGCCAUCCUGCACCCCCACAUCCCUAGGGCAGCCUCCUCUGCUCCGCUGUGGUCUGUGGUGCAUUGCAUCAGUCACCUGGGCGCCCUGGAAAGUGCAGAUUACUAGGCCUGCCCUGGACCUGGGGAGAGGGGCUGGGAUUUACACUUAAGUCAAUUUUAAUUCACAGUGAAGUCUGAAUCACUUUGUAGAAAGAAUUAAAGUUUGGCUAAGAUAAA